ACGCCAGACGGUCCUGAUGCCGGCAGGGAGAGCUGGCGCUGCAGCCCGCGUCACCUCAUCACCCGUCAGAUUUGCUCUUUCCUCCUCUGCACACCAUUGUGGGUGGUGGAGGGCGUGACCCCAAGACCAACCGAUGUUUCAGGUUCCCUGAAGGGAGACUGGCUGUGGUGUCCCUGGUGAAGGCACUCAGAGAGUAAGUGUGACGCAGGAACGUGCCUGAUUUCAGAUGAGGACCCCCAAUCAGCAGGCAGGAUUCCCACUUUGUGAAGGCAGCUUAGAGGACAGCUGAGUCAUCGUCCAGGUUCCAUAACCAGGCUGAUGAAAACACCGCCGGCACAUUUCAGACCCACGACAGGCAGCGCUGCAGAAGCCAGGAGUCGCUCGGACGAAACAGGCCAAAGGACUCAGCAGCUUACAAGAUCCAGAAUGAACCUGACAUCAGCACUCAGAGUCCACAUGCCUAAGGAUGGAAGGAUCUGGAUAGUACUGCUGUGGUUCUGCAGCCGUAGACCGCGGAGAAGCACGCAGCCGACACAGGACCUAUGAUGUCAGAACAAGCGGCUCCAUUAGAGAAUUACAGUCUUACAUUAAGCACGGGGGCUUAACGGGUGCCUAUAAAAUAUACUGAGAUUAAAGAGCACAAGAACGGACACAUUAAAUGCAUCAAGUAAUAUAGCUACUAAAGUUCAGCACUAAGGAAACGUAACAGAAAGGAUCUUAUGUUAACAUGGCUAAUUUCUGUACUGCUCUAUAUUUUGUCUGAAUAAAAAUU